AACAAACGCUGGCGGCGUGCCUAAUACAUGCAAGUCGAACGGGGUAGCAAUACCUAGUGGCGCACGGGUGAGUAACGCGUGGAUAAUCUGCCUUAGAGUGGGGGAUAACUAGGCGAAAGAUUAGCUAAUACCGCAUAAGACCACAAGGACUGCGGUUCAAGGGGUCAAAGGUUUUUCGCUCUAAGAUGAGUCCGCGUAAGAUUAGCUAGUUGGUGAGGUAAUGGCUCACCAAGGCGACGAUCUUUAACUGGUCUGAGAGGAUGAUCAGUCACACUGGAACUGAGACACGGUCCAGACUCCUACGGGAGGCAGCAGUAGGGAAUAUUGCACAAUGGAGGAAACUCUGAUGCAGCGACGCCGCGUGAGUGAUGAAGGCCUUCGGGUCGUAAAGCUCUGUCGCAGGGGAAUAACACAAUGAAUGUACCCUGUAAGAAAGGAUCGGCUAACUUCGUGCCAGCAGCCGCGGUAAAAC
rnacentral:rRNA from 1 species